UACGUAGGGUGCAAGCGUUGUUCGGAAUUACUGGGCGUAAAGCGUGCGCAGGCGGUUCUGCAAGUCUGUUGUGAAAUCCCCAGGCUUAACCUGGGAACUGCAGUCGAGACUGCAUUGCUAGAGUAUGGGAGAGGGAAGUGGAAUUUCCGGUGUAGCGGUGAAAUGCGUAGAUAUCGGAAGGAACAUCAGUGGCGAAAGCGACUUCCUGGACCAAUACUGACGCUCAUGUGCGAAAGCGUGGGGAGCAAACAGG
rnacentral:rRNA from 1 species